UACGAAGGGGGCUAGCGUUGCUCGGAAUCACUGGGCGGAAAGGGUGCGUAGGCGGGUCUUUAAGUCAGGGGUGAAAUCCCGGGGCUCAACCCCGGAACUGCCUUUGAUACUGAGGAGCUUGAGUCCGGGAGAGGUGAGUGGAACUGCGAGUGUAGAGGUGAAAUUCGUAGAUAUUCGCAAGAACACCAGUGGCGAAGGCGGCUCACUGGCCCGGUACUGACGCUGAGGUGCGAAAGCGUGGGGAGCAAACAGG
rnacentral:rRNA from 1 species